GACAGAGGGGGCAAGCGUUGCUCGGAAUUACUGGGCGUAAAGGGCGCGUAGGCGGGAUGGCAAGUCGGUCGUGAAAUCCCUCGGCUCAACCGAGGAACGUCGAUCGAUACUGCUGUUCUUGAGGAUUGCAGAGGAGACUGGAAUUCCCGGUGUAGCGGUGAAAUGUGUAGAGAUCGGGAGGAACACCGGUGGCGAAGGCGGGUCUCUGGGCCAAUUCCUGACGCUGAGGCGCGAAAGCGUGGGGAG
rnacentral:rRNA from 1 species